CCUGAUUCCGGACCUACUAUCCGGAAUCGAUUCCAGAAAACUGCGGAGCUAGCCGGAAUCGAUUCCGACAAAAACUUCAUUUUUCCCAUCACUGUAUAUAUGAUGUGAUCGGAUAUUACGGAACAAAAGACCUUGUUGUAUACGAGUAACAUGGUUCGGCCCAGGGCUGGUCAUACUAGUCAUACUUCUGAGCAUCAUUUUCCCUAACAAGUCAUCAAGAGCUCUGGUAUGGCGGCAGCCCAAGACUGAGCUCACUUGCUCCAGAGAUACUAAUCAGAAGAACUGUUGACGUUACGGUCGGGAGGAAUGUCUGUAAAAGUAGGACAGCUUUUGAGGACAAAGAACAUUCUACCAUACUAGCACUAGAACCUUUUACCGUGUGUCGAAAUACGCUCUAUCGAACUCCAUAACUGUUAGUAAAUAGAAAAAUGAUCUGCCGAACAGGACAGGAGUUCGAUGGUUUCGCUGCUUGAAGAUUAGAACGAUUGGAGGUAACAUUCAUACGAAGGGUACUGGACAUUUUCGUCGCAUAUCGAGGCAUUUAUAUUAUCAGAACUGAAAUAAGUCAUUUCCAUUUUAAUCGCGUCUCGAGAGAAACAUGCUCUGAAGGUUUUUAAGCCCCGCACGAUAGGAAAGAUCGAUGGAUGAGCCGAUACAACUUGUACGUGUACGAGAUGGACGUGUUGUAUGAGCUGUACGAUACUGUUAUGUGGCUGGUCAUGUAUACGCAUGGAACCGGACGACUUGAUGGCUCCCCGUGAAGUCCUUUUAGGUCUUUAAUGUGGGAAGUUGGCUGUGAUAACGGAUCGGCAGAUGGAGACACGUGACGGUGAGCGAUUUCGGACAUUUCUGCAACUAGCCAAGAUAGCAAAUGUUGGUUGUAUAGUGCUGUGUAAGUAAGCAUGUUAUUUAGAGUAGAACAUUGGCAGGCUUCGAACCUCACUUUACCUUAGAAAUCUGUCCUUCAUUGCGACGAUCGGAUGUGAAGUUUCAAAUCGUUUCAAAUAAAUAUACCUAAAUAGAGAA